rnacentral:tRNA from 1 species
GCCCGGGUGGUGGAAUUGGUAUACACGAGGGACUUAAAAUCCCUUGGGUGAAAACCCUUGCGAGUUCGACUCUCGCCCCGGGCACAA